CGCGAUAAUGUAGGUGGCGAGCAGUUAUCCGGAAUAUUGGGGGUAAAAAGCGCGCAUAGGCGUCUUAAGUAGUGAUGUGAAAAACCCGGCUCACCCCGCAGAUCAUUGUCGAUGGGGUCGUGAGACACCAGAGGAGAGUGGAGUUACAUGAUAGUAGAGAAAAAGUAGAGAUAUGGAGGAACAACACCAGUGAAGAAGACUUUUUGUGGUCCGCUUACGAUGAGGAGGCAAAAAAUGGGGAGCAACCAGCAUUAGAUAACACCGUAGUACUCCCCGUAAUAAAUGAGUAAUAACAGCUAGAGGCUUUCCGCCAGGUCGUGGGGAAGGUUAAGCCAUAAACCAUUCCCCUGGGGAAUUCGGCUGCAAGGAUUAAAAUUAAAAGAAAUGGCGGGGGGCCGCCCCAGCGGGGGAGCAUGUGGUUUAAUUUGAAGCAACGGGAAGAACCUUUCCAGGUCCUGACCUCCUCAGAAAACCUUAGAGAUAGGGGUUUUCUUUUGGGAGCAGAGUGACAGGGGGUGCAUGGUUGUUGUCAAGUUGUGUUGUGAGAAGUUGGGUUAAGUCCCGCAACGAGCGCAACCCCUGAUCUUAGUUGCCAUCAAUAAGUUGGGCCAUUUAAGGUGACUGCCGGUGACAAACCGGAGGAAGGUGGGGAUGACGUCAAAUCAUCAUGCCCCCUUAUGACGGAUGGUACACACGUGUUACAAUGGACGGUACACAGAGGUGCAAGACCGCGAGGUGGAAGCAAUUUCAUAAAACCGUUCUCAGUUCGGAUUUAGGCUGCAACUCGCCUACAUGAAGCUGGAAUCGCUAGUAAUCGCGGAUCAGCAUGCCGCGGUGAAUACGUUCCCGGGCCUUGUACACACCGCCCGUCACACCAUGAGAGUUGGUAACACCCGAAGUCGGUGGGGUAACCUCAAGGAGGCAGCCGACCUAAGUAGGGUCAGAUGACUGGGGUGAAGUCGAACAAGAGCCAUGCC
rnacentral:rRNA from 1 species